GGCCGCCGUUCGCCCGAAACCGCGCCGCGCCACGAGGCCGACCCUCGGCUCCAAGAUGCGCCGUCUCGACGGCAAGAAGCGCCGCAGCGACGUCAAGGCAAAGCGCAAUACGCGCAGUUUCGACGAUUGAGAAUUAGCGGGUAAAACAUACCUGUUCGGCCGUACAAUCGAGCCAAUCCCCGGGUAAAAUACGCCGGAUCCGCGAAUCGCCCCGGAAUUCCCAUGCCCGUCCGCCAGCUCCCCAUUCAAAUCGUCAACCGCAUCGCCGCCGGCGAGGUGGUUGAACGGCCCGCCAGCGCGGUGAAGGAACUGGUGGAGAACGCCAUCGAUGCCGG
rnacentral:misc_RNA from 1 species